rnacentral:lncRNA from 1 species
UUUAUUUGAUGCAUUGAUCUUCAUGAUGUCUGAUAUAGCUAAUUACUUGUUGAUUAUAUCUUGAUUCAAAGUCCAAAGGAAAAUAGGUUUCUAUAUGACAUUCUUGUCUGUUGGAUUGCAUCCCAUUCGUCAGAUCUUUUCAACUCUUAACUUUUAAUUUUAUGCUUAGGAUAGCCUCUUCAUCUCCUCCCACUUAUUAAAUUUCAAAAUGUCUCUCCCUUUUCAAAAACUUUCUUUGCUUAUAAUUUCAAACUUAGACCUUAUUUCAAGUAGAAACCUUGCCCUUAUGCCAUUGAAUUUUUGAACAUCUUUUUCUUAAAUCAAACUUGUAAAUAAAUCUAAUUAUAUUGACUUAAAAUUUCAAAAAGAC